rnacentral:rRNA from 1 species
GAUGAACGCUAGCGGCAGGCUUAAUACAUGCAAGUCGUGGGGCAGCAUGAAUGUAGCAAUACAUUUGAUGGCGACCGGCAAACGGGUGCGGAACACGUACACAACCUUCCGAUAAGUGGGGAAUAGCCCAGAGAAAUUUGGAUUAAUACCCCGUAACAUAUAGAGGUGGCAUCAUCUUUAUAUUAUAGCUACGGCGCUUAUUGAUGGGUGUGCGGCUGAUUAGAUAGUUGGCGGGGUAACGGCCCACCAAGUCUACGAUCAGUAGCUGAUGUGAGAGCAUGAUCAGCCACACGGGCACUGAGACACGGGCCCGACUCCUACGGGAGGCAGCAGUAAGGAAUAUUGGUCAAUGGACGCAAGUCUGAACCAGCCAUGCCGCGUGAAGGAUUAAGGUCCUCUGGAUUGUAAACUUCUUUUAUCUAGGACGAAAAAAGGCGAUUCUUCGUCACUUGACGGUACCAGAUGAAUAAGCACCGGCUAACUCCGUGCCAGCAGCCGCAGUAAAAC